CCAACCUCUGGGCUCCCCGCUCUGCGCGUGCCCGGGGCCGAGCAGCCCUCGGAGAGCGUGCGCUUAAAGGCCGAGCCCCCUCGCCCGCCCGCGGGAGGAUUAGGAGCCCCAAGUGACGCGGCGGGAGGCAACACGAAGACAACCAGAGGCCGUUCUCGGGCAGGGCACAAGUGAGUUUCGGAGGUAAAGAAGACAAAAGACAGACAGACACACUCCCAAGGGAAGAGGAGCAGAAGGAGGAGGAAAAAGCAAAGUAUGGAAAAGUCAAGUUUUCCAGACCCUUCAUAGACGGCGUGUGAUAAGGUUCUUGACUGAACAACCUGGAGAAUAGCUGCCCAUGCUUUGGCAGAGAAAACGGUCCCACCCACACGACCCUCCAAAGAAGAGUUGUCCCUGAAUGGACCUGGUCACUGAGAGGGGCAGCCCCUCAGGCCCAGCUCUCCUCAUGCUCCCAUGAGAGCAUACCUCCUGGGUUCACUUUUCACCGGCUGAUUGCUCACGCCCAGUGACCCAACAUAUGCCAAAUAAAAGGGUCCCCAAGUGGGCAGGACCACUGGGCCUGGUGGAAUACUGCUUGGGUUUCUCCCAAGGCUGGGAAGGCCUUCCACCUCCUCAUCUGGGGUCCUAGGCACCUAGGGCCUGGAGUAGUUUCGUACUGUUUCCUUCCUUGGCCCUCCCAGAGCACAUGGGGCUUGGAACUGAGGUCAAUAAGAGCAUCUAGGGUCCGCAGAGACAGUAGACCUGACAGGAGACGCCAAAGAAUCUAGAAGCUACUUUUAAGCUGUGCAUGAUCAACCUCUGCAAACCUGCCUCUGGCUUGCACAGCUUCUGAAGAGCGGAGGCAGCUCGGCCACAUACUGGAGUGGCCAUACCCCGUUCCCUUCCAUUUCCCUCAAAGGCUCUCCUGCUUGAGAGCUGAAGCUUGGCCAGCAGAGGAGAAAAAGGUUUACUCAAGGCCUGGAAUCCACAAAGGUGUUUUGGGAGAAUGACCUGAGGCCAUGUAUCUGGACGUGGCUACAGUUACGCUUCAGGUGUGCACGUGCACUCGUGUGUACAUACACGUACACACAAAUAAUGACACGUAGAGGAAAUAAAGACGUGCGGAGGAAAAUGACAGCAAACAGAAGAACUUCGGCUGUGACUUUGUAGACCACACUUUGCAAAGCACAAUGAAAAUAAUUGGCCCAUCCAGGCCUUGUAAUCUUCUGCAGGGUGAUGGAUGGCCUUUCCUCCAUAAGCAUGUUGGGUACCACACCGUGGUACAGGACCCAGCAAAGCAGCUAUCAGGGUGAGGGUAAAAAGAAACAGAAUUUCUAUUGAGACUUAACUCUUUAGCUAAAAUAAAAACUGAACUCUUCUAAUGGCAUUAAAAAAAAAAACUUAGACUUGCUUUAUUUUAUGUAUGUAGCUGUUUUUCCUGCAUGUAUGUGUGCCAUGGG